CACUGUUGCAAGGAUCGCCUCACUGUUGCAAGGAUCACCUCACUGUUGCAAGGAUCACCUCACUGUUGCAAGGAUCACCUCACUGUUGCGAGGAUCACCUCAUUGUUCACCUCUCCUUCUCGGGGCCUUUCCACGUUGAUUCAGCAUUUCAGGGGCUCGUGUCAUCCAAAGGCAAUUCGGCAACCCUGAUUGUUCCUACGUGCUGCCAUGUCAGGCGGCAUGCAUUUCGAGUUUCAGAUUUACUACGACAAAUGCGGCACCAAACCUGACAUGGGCGGUAAGUUCUACAAGAACACCAACAUCAUCCAGUACGAAGUAGAUCUCAUCGAGGUAAUAAUUAAUUGUGCUGGGCUCGGAUUUUCAGAAAUAGUUUUUCAUUUUUCUGCUGAAAAAGUGCAGUACAUGAGAUCAAAUAGUUCAAACCGCUGUCUGAUGACAAAAUCAGAUACUUCUCAUGGAGUAUUUAUGCUGCGGAAAUUAUUUUCAGUUUAGUAAUUGUUAUUUGUUUAUUUAAUAGUUAAGUUAUUAAGUGUUACUUAGUUAUUUGUAUAUAUUGAAGAAAAGGUUUGGCCAUUAGAUCAGGGUGAAAAUGAGCAGGGGCAGGAAGGGUACACCAAUAAUGAUGCCUCCUCCUCAUGACUGUCCCAUGAAGAAGAUAGGCUGAGAGUUUUGUGGAAUGACAGGAUGGCAAGAAGAUGCCGAGUUGACUGGAGAGGGGCACUGCAUUCAGGGCAGGUAUUGCUUGCACCAUGCUCCGCCUUGGAUAUGUAAGAUGCCUGUGAAUUGCUGUCAGAUAUCUGAGAAGAGCUUAGCCAGUGCUGUAGAUUGGACAUGGUAGAUCCAUGCUAUGAGAUUUUAGCUUCUACAAAAGAAUGUUACAUUGGAGCUGUGAGAAUUCAAAUCCACCCAAAAUAUUUGACAUAGGAGCUGCCCCAUUCCUGAAAAUAUAAAAUUCUUAUAAAAUAUCAGCCCAUUUUAUUACAUCAUGUGCACUCACAAUGACAUAAUUUCUUUUCAUCAGUUACUUUUUGAGUUUUCUAUUCUUGAGCGUUGUAGAUAAAUGCAUAUAUGUGUCCAGAUUUGGGAUGAGGCGAAACGGUUGCGGUGCGAGUGGUAGGUAUGGCUACGAGAAGAAAGCCAGUAAACCUCCGAAUGUCAUCUCUGAACGUAAUUGCGUUCAAUUUCAGAGAUGAUUUUUUAUUCCUAUAUUUACAUUGGAGGUAAAAGGGUACAAAGGGUAAACUUGUUUUCUAAAGAAAUAAGAAAAUUACCAAGUACGGAGCCGUCUCCGUGGCUCAGUGGGCUAAGGCAUGGUCACGCGCACUCGACUGCAGUCUUGGCAGCGGUUCGAAUCUCGGCGUGCGACUGAUAGUUUCUUCAUCCAGUGUUCAAUAGAGGCGAUAACGUGGACUGCUGGAUGGAGAUUCAGGACAGCAAGGGGCCGAGGGCCGCCUCGUGACUGGAAUAGUUCCGCUCAGGUGACUGGAAUAGUUCCGCUCAGGUGACUGGAAUCGUUCCGCUCA